AUGGCGACCGGCGCACGGGUGAGUAACGCGUAUCCAACCUGCCCUUUACUAUGGGACAGCCCGUCGAAAGGCGGAUUAAUACCGUAUGUUGUCAUGUUGAUGCAUAUUUUCAUGACCAAAGGCUUCGGCCGGUAAAGGAUGGGGAUGCGUCUGAUUAGCUUGCCGGCGGGGUAACGGCCCACCGGGGCGACGAUCAGUAGGGGUUCUGAGAGGGAGGUCCCCCACAUUGGAACUGAGACACGGUCCAAACUCCUACGGAAGGCAGCAG
rnacentral:rRNA from 1 species